rnacentral:lncRNA from 7 species
GGGACUCCUCUUGACCCGGGCUCGGGGCCGGGGCAGCCGGCGGGGCAGAGGGAGGAGCUCCAGGCGGCAACAUUAAACUUUAAGUCCUGUGGUUGCCCAGUGGUUUGCCUCAUUUACAACUGUAGAGCAACUAAGGGACUUUCUAGAGAUCCCUAUUGUCAUCUGGCAAAUGCUUACAAUCUAUGCUGACAAAGUAGUUCUCCUUCAUGGGAUCACUUUUAAGGAAGGAGGAACAGAGAGGUCUGUUUUGCUCAUCUUCCAUGUAUUGAGGCCACCUGAUACGGGACUUCUGGCUUGGGAACGCCUCCUGCUGAAAAGCACUGUAUAAAAGUGCAUCUGCGUUGCCAGUCAACUGUAAGCCCAGAGUCAAUUGUGUCUUCUAGUAGCUGUCUCCUUGAUAACUGGCAGUAGUCCUGGUGCAAGCUUGGCCAUCCGUUCCCUGGAGCUUCUGGAACUCCCCCAGCCAUGGCAGACUCCAAGAAAGAAGAUGACACCCUGAAAAUCCUUUGGCCUUUCCUUCUCCACCUCUGACUCAUUUGGCAGCAGAAUAUCAUUAUGCUUUCUAGUUUUUGUGUUAUCAUACAGGAAAUAAGGAUAUUGUUGGUUUUUUUAUAUUUGUUUCCUUUUCCAUUUAUUUUAUCACUAAUUGAUUUUAAUAAUGUUAUUUAGAAAAAGAAAAGCUAAAUAAGUUAAAGAUUUGAGUAAUGAUAGCAUCAUUGGGAACAAAGAGAAAGUGUGACACUGGAAGUGAUCUUGUGAUGACAUGGAGCAUGAUGGCGCAGUGGAAUUAAAUGAAAAUACUAUCACAGUGCAGGAAAGAGUAUGCCUUUUCAAGUACUUCCCUCCUGAGUCUCUAGCAUAUUGUCACUUCUUUUUUUUUUUGUUCUCUGCAUAUAGCAGCUGUGGUGGAGAACUAGAGAGGUAUACAAAUGUAAGAACAGUAAUGUUUCAUAUGCUUUCUCAGCACAUGAUUGUGUGGUUGCUCAGACUAUUAGCAUACAACAGAAAGAGACAACUGAUCUAUCUGUAGCCACAGCUUGAUGAUCUUAGAUCAAGCAGAUCCUAAGGACAGUGUUUAACAAAGAAAUUUGUAGUAUGAAUUUUCAUUUUAAUAAGAAUGAGUAUACAAUAUGCACAUCAAAAUAUUUACUGUAAAUUUCUCCAUUGAUGUGACAAUAUCAGUUAAUUUCUACAUAAUUAUUUUAAAUAGAAUAUAAAAUCCAGAUGUGAAAUUUUAUGAGUUGUUAGAGAGGAAACAAACAAAGCUUCUGCAUCAAAGGAAUGAUUGCGUUCUGAAUUUUAUUGCAGCAUUAACUUUGUCAGUUGUUGAAAGAAAAAAAAAAAAGAAGGAAGAAAGAAGAAAGAAAAUGAACAAGCAAUCUGGAUAAAUGCUGUUGUUUUAUUUUACAUCUGUACUGACUGUCCAUUUUCUUUGAAGUAUCAGUAUAACUAAACCUUUACUUCAGUAAAAUAAAGUAACCAAUAAUAUCUGG